rnacentral:rRNA from 1 species
GACGAACGCUGGCCGCGUGCUUAACACAUGCAAGUCGAACGGAAAGGCCAUGCUUGCAGGGUGCUCGAGUGGCGAACGGGUGAGUAACACGUGGGUGAUCUGCCCCUUACUUUGGGAUAAGCCUGGGAAACUGGGUCUAAUACUGGAUAGGACCAUGCUGUAGGUGGUGUGGUGGAAAGAUUAGUUUCGGUAAGGGAUGAGCUCGCGGCCUAUCAGCUUGUUGGUGGGGUAAUGGCCUACCAAGGCGUCGACGGGUAGCCGGCCUGAGAGGGUGGACGGCCACAUUGAGACUGAGAUACGGCCCAGACUCCUACGGGAGGCAGCAGUGGGGAAUAUUGCACAAUGAGGGCAAGCCUGAUGCAGCGACGCCGCGUGGGGGAUGACGGCCUUCGGGUUGUAAACUCCUUUCAGCCAUGACGAAGCCCUUGUGGUGACGGUAGUGGUAGAAGAAGCACCGGCUAACUACGUG